rnacentral:SRP_RNA from 1 species
GCCGGGCAUGGUGGCGCAUGCCUGUAAUCCCAGCUACUCGGGAGGCUGAGGCAGGAGAAUCGCUUGAACCCAGGAGGUGGAGGUUGCGGUGAGCUGAGAUCGCACCACCGCACUCCAGCCUGGGCAAGAGAGUGAGACUCCGUUUCAA